UUUCUGAGAGAAAUAUCUUAAAAAAAAUUCUGACCGUUUUUAUUUCUACAAACCUAGCUACCGGACCAUCAUUUCUAAUACAGGAACAAGACUUCUUGAGGAACAUCACUAUGAUUGAACAACCAGCCCAGAACCAAUCAGGGUGUUCCGCUGCAUUGGUGCAAACGCCUGAUACUCUGCAUAUUGACCUGCCACAUGUUGAUCCAAAGGAAGUCUGUUUUACAAUCAACAAAUGUUUGAUACAAAUUACCACAAAGCAUUGGGAGUUAAUGACAAAUGGCUUGGUGAGCUGUGUGACGACAGCUGGGCUGGCCAAUUCUUGCAUGGAUAUCAUCCAGAUCUUUGCAGAGGCUAUUGUGGAUGUCGUAAUGCCACAGGUCUACAGAUACAUGAGAAACUACGGCACCUUUUCUCCAUCUGUCCUCGGCCUAACUGAGGACCGAAUCCACAUCUACCUGGGGGAUUCUAUUGAACAGGCGCUGGCUAAUGCCCUGAAGAUCAAAGUCCAGAAUUUUGUGGCCACUAAGGAAUUCUCCAAGUCACUUUUGAGACACAUUUCAAAGACCGUCAACUCAGUCUUGGCUUUGUUCACUCAGACUCCCGCCCUGGAGUCUAGACUUCCUGUGAUUUUUGUCAGUGGCUGUGUGACUUCCAUUGGAGAACUUACAGAUAUGGUUCGUCAGUUUGCCACCAUACUGACAGGAGCCUUCGAAGCUCAGCAGCAAGCUCAAAAGAUGACUGAAGAUCAGCGGAGCCAGACUGCAUUGUAUGAACCAGGCAGAGAAGUGGAGCCCCCUAUAUUCAAUUUAAAUUCCAAAAGUGACUUAAAGAAAUUGGUGAAGACUUACAUCAUUCGCAUGCUGAAAGUCCUAAAAAACACUCAAAUGUCAAACUGUGAAAUGAGCCCUAGCAACCAUGGAGAUGUUUGUAUUAGAGUUGGCUCAAAGACACACAUUUUGACUGUGGAAGACAGGAAAUUAGAUAGACAAGAGUCUGCCAUGUCCUCCUAUUGUGGUUUGGAUUCCAUACCAGGUGCUGUGCCUGACACCAACGACACAGAGUCCCAUUCUGAUAGGUGUCCCUUCAGUUCAAUUACAGUAAUUUCUAAAACGGAGGACCAUUCUUCUCGUUUAAGUCCCAUAGAGAUGGAAUCUAUCAAGAAUAUAGCUGACGAACUGGUACAAGAUUUUUUGGAAGUAGAUCUGCAGGGGGCAGUGCAGACAGACAGUUGGCUGGAGGUCGUUAAACUAAGGGAACUCACAGACAGAACCUUUAAUGUGGUAAUGACUGGACGUGACUACCAGAUUCCGUUAGUGCCAGCCGGAACUCGCAUUUGUGACACUGUGAUCUAUAGAAACCUGAGGCGAAAGGGUGUCACCGACUCAGGCAUUGUUGCUCAUGCCCUUUACCUGAGGACAGCAGAGGUUGUUACUCGUUGUGCUGUGCAGGUUCUCCUUUGGUCAGAACUACACUCAGAGAAGUCUUAUUAUCCAUCUCCACUCGCUUUCGAACAAUUGUCUGUAGAUCCUGACUUUGUGUUUGUAGGACAUGCAGCAGGGGACCAUUUAGAAGUAGUGCCUGUAACUCCUUCUCCUAACAUUGCUCCAGUGUUGAGUCAAGAAAAUAUCGUCACAUAUGAAGUUAUCCCUGAGCCGCUUGAGCUAAUGCAGGCACAGUUGCUGGGAGGCAAUUUUCAUGCAUCCCUGUUGACUCUGCUGGUUCGUGAGAUGCUUAUUGUCAUCGGUAUUGAAAACAGUGAAAUGAUUAGUGAGGUUGUAAAGAAAGUGAUUCAACAGAUUCAAGAUGUGGACCCUAUGCUGUACAACCACUUCUAUGACACCUUGAUGGGUCGGAGUUUCAAAGACAUUUACCAAGCUGGCAUUAGCGACCUCCAGCUGGAGUUUGGUUCAGUAGAUGAACUGAAAGAGGUCAUAAAAUCAGGGGAUCCCACUUUUGAGGAGGCUAUUGUGAGAGCACUGAGGACACAGCUGGGAAUGCCUACAUAUCCAGAACCUCAUCGGAACACAGCCAAGAAAACAACCUGUGGUUUCUUCAAGAAGUUAAAAAAACUGUGCAGCAAAAAGAAGAAGCCUGGCAAGACUACACCUGUCAUCUCUCUGACCAGGGACCAGGACAGGAGCCAGCUACAGGAAGAAACGUUGAAAGACCAAACAGAGCAACGGCAAUGUCCACCCAUGAGCAGGAUAGCUGCCUCCACAAAAAAGAUGUUUUCCUCAAUUGCUAGAGCACUGGGCAGACCAUUUGUGGCUUGCAUCUGCCCAGAGAGCCAAUAAAGCUUCAGCACAGAGUGGACUUUGGAUCUAGACGUGGUUACAGGAAUGUGAAGUUCCACCCAACCUCCUGCUUACUGAAAGCAAUUAUCCACUAGACUACAGCCAACUGAAGGAGAGUAGCCACUGAAAGACGAAUGGAUGAGAGGAGUCCUAGGCCGCCAGGAGAAGAGCCUCUGUAAAUUGACUGGAG